UAAACUCACUUUUCAACUUACUUAUAAAAUCAAAUACAUUUUAAAAAUAAACUUUUUAAUGCUGCUACAGGGAAUGCAAAACCAUUACUUGCCAAAAAUAGUCGUCAUCAUCAUCAUCAUCAUCAGAAACAUUUUGAGCAUUUACUCUGUGGCAGGAAACUGAGUUUAAAAUCCUUAUUCCAAAACACUAACAGGAGUGUCCGGGGGAGGCACAAAACUUCUUUUCAGCCGUCUUGUUAACGCCCCUGGGUUGCCAUCCUCUCCUGGUUCAUCCUUAAACUGUGGGAAGCUGGUCCAGCAGCACGGGGCGGGGCCGGGAGCCCACGGCACCAUCUCCGGUCCCAGGCGGAGCUCCUGGGGGGCAGUGGAGCUCCAGGAACCCUUAUCGCCUAAACGGGCCCCCCGGGAGUGAAGGCAGGAAGCAAAUGCAGAUUCAGAGUCGACCACAGGUCUCCAUCCGCGGGGCUGGUCGGGAAGUCCAAGAUUUAUCUCUCAGGGAGAAAAAGCAAGUUGCAGAAUCACGUGUGAGAGGUCUGAGCAUUUCAGCAAAAACAAAAAAGCCCUCAAGUGCAUGUGCGUCAGAGACCGCAGAGCAGAAGACAGGGCUUGCCAAGCGCGUCGGGCUGUGUGCUGGACACUUGUCGUCUCUGACCUCCCGGCAUCGCGCCCCCUCUCCCCUGAUGUCCCCCAAAGGUUCCCGGGCACACCGUCCUCUGCACCCCCAGGUCCACACGGCCGCUGACUCCAUCCCCCGCCCACGGAGGGUGUGGCCAGGGCUGCCUUCUGCUGGGGUUGCAGAGGAGGUGGGUGCAGGCCUGGGACUGCUGGCAGCCCCCAUGCCACCAGGAGGGGGGAGCCUGGCUGGGAGGAGGGAGGACGAACUGGGUCCCUGGUACUGGGCUGGAUCUGAGGCUCUACCCAUGGAAGGAGCCAGUUCAUUCCCUGUGGAGCGGAGCCAGUGGGAGUCGGGGUGGUAGCGGAGUGCUGCUGGGGCUCUUUCGGCCCCCAAAAGCUGAUGGCUAGACCUUCAAGAACUUGGCAUAUCGGAUGUUAAACAUGGCCAUUGCUAAAAAUUAAAUCACGUACACUUACCAUUAAAUACAUUAUAUUAAAAACAAUGGUAAAUACUCAAAACACAUCACCUCCUAAUCACUACCCUUUCCUGUUUUCUGGUCCUGAGGUUACUUACCUUUGCUGGGUCCGAGCCGGAAACACCGAACACAGUUGUGCAGCUGUAUCUCUCUUCUGGGGUGACAGCUGGCCGGGGUCCUCCAACUUGGGAUACAGCCUGCUGGAAGACGCAAGCAUUAACGAGGCACCUCUCUCCACUGCCCACGCCCCCCAAAAGAAAAGACACUUUUUUUCUCCUCUUGGGUCCGAGGAAAGGCUGAGAGCCAUUUAUGGAGAGAGGCUCGGUGGCUUCUGGGAAAGUAGGCUCACGUGCCGUCUUUCAUUAAUUAUCACGGGGUCGGGGUGUGUCUGGACGUGUAAACAGUCCCUAGAUGGGGGGCGGUAACGUGUUUCUGCUAAACUCUGGUCUAGUGACACAAGUUCUGAGGUAAGGGCAAUCGAAAGCACUAGGCGUCUCUGGAAGAGACUUGGAGAAGUCUGAUGGUGUCCACCAUGCGGUUUAACUUUACUUUGGCCCAUGAACCAAAGGCAGCAGUGCUACUGAGAACAGGACAGGCACCCUCACAGACGAGGCUGGAACAGUCUCAAACCUGGGCCUGGGGUCAGGCUUGUGGGCCAGAGGCCACGGACGCUCGUUUUCCCUGCCCACACCUGCCGAAGGCACCAAACUGGCAUGUGCCCUUGCGUCGGUGGCAGAGGAAGAGACUGCAUGGAGGUGGGCGUCUCCCGUGGCUUCUGGUGGCCUUUCCACAGCACUGCUGGUCACCUGGACGCACGGGGCAGGGCCGGACAGGCCCCAUCUGGGCCAGCAGCAGCCAGAGCAGCUCUGCAGUCCAGCAGCCUGUGGGCUUUUCUCUUUCCAAGGGUGGGGCCUGCCUCUCUCCUGCUGUCUGCCCAGAGCGAGUCAUUCUUUGUUUAAUUAAACUGGACGUUUUAAAAAUAGAAACUGUCAAGAAAAGUGGAAGGUUCUAACAGAAGACCCAGCUGGCUUGGGUCCUACACAUGAGGUCAGUGGCGGCAGGACCCAGGAUCUGAUGCCCAUCAUGGCCUGGGUGUGCUGUCCGGGGCAGUGUGUGUGUUAGCUGGAAGUCAACUCUAUGCAGUUAUUCGAAAUCAUGAUUUCAUCGUAGCUGGCACACUGACGGUUGUACCGGGGCUGUGCUAAUGCCACACCCGAGAGGGAAGUCUGCGCAUCCCUGUCUGCGUGACGGGUGACCCCGCAGUUCUGAGAAGCCCAGGACACACGCCACCAGCCUUCCAGCCCAGCACUGAGCUCGUUCUUCUCCAAUGGCCCUGCCCUUUGUCCUUAGCCGCGUGGCUGAGGGAACCCCCACGCUGCCAGCAGCAGGGCUGGAGGUCACAGCGGCCACCAGCCUGGGCCCUGCACGAGGGGAAGGCUUGGGUCAAGCCCCUGCUCCACUGUGUAUGAGGCCAGGGACUGCAGUCUGCCCUCAGUCUGUUCCUCAGUAAAAUGGGUGUCAUAACAAGCUGCAAUGGUACUAAGUCCAAUGAUGCAUGUAAAGGGUCUGGUGUAGGAUAAAUAGUAGAUAAAUGUUUGCUGCUAUGAAAGAAGCAAAAGUACUGAAAAGCCACAAGCGAUAAUCUGAAAAUGCUGUUGAACAUAAUGGAAGUCUUCCUUUCAAAAAUUAUAACCAAAUAAAACAUAAAAAGUGGUGCAUUACACAUCUGGCUCCUGACUAGGAUGGAAAGCUGGAAAGUGCAUCUCUUCCAUCCUAACAGUAAGAAAAGGCCAGAUAAUCCACAAUCUCAUAACUUCACUUGAACAGAUCUAUAUUAGCUUCCUUGAGCUGCUAGAACAAACCCGGUGGUGCAAAGCAGCAGACACUGACCGCUCAGUUCUGGAGCCUAGAAGUCCCACAGGGGACUCUGCUCCUUGCCUCUCUCAGCUUCAGGGGGCGGCUACAGUCCUUGGCUUGUGGCUGCCUCUCUCCAAUCUCUGUCCCGUGGUCACACAGCCACCCCCUCUUCUCUUCCUUGUGCCCUUUGUACAGUGCCUUCGAAUUUCUGUCACUGGAUUUAGGGCCUGUCUGGGUAACCCAGGAUCAUGUCUUCUUAAGAUCCCCACCUUAUUUCCAUCUGCAAGGACCCUUUCUCCAAAUAAGGUCCUAUUCACAGGUUCCAGGGGCUUAACAUCUUUUGGGGAUCAUUUUUUCUUUUUUUUUUUGGAUCACCACACUAUCAGAGAGCUGAGAUCAGGGGCAUCCAACUAAUCUGGAAUCGAGACGGGGGCAUCUCUGGGGAGAAAGGAGCACGGGCCCUGGCUUACCUGGGGCCCAGGCCAGGAAGAAGCCAGGACUGUCAUGCCAGCAGGUAAGACUUCAGCUUGCAUUUAAAAUGCAUUGCUGGGGACCUAACAGGGGCCAGCAAGGGGAGAGGAUCCCCGGGCACGGCCAGCGCUGACUCGUGUCUGGCUGGCUUGGGCCAUGGGCUGCAGUUUGUCUACCCCAUUCUAGAGGGAUCUGAAGCUAACCGCAGCAACCACAAAACCCGAAACUGGAUCAGUUCCUGACUAGAUCGACUCCAUCCUCCCACCCUAAAGGCCCAGCAGAAGAGGGGUACUCAUUUCCAGGCAUAAAGACCUUCUUCACAUGAUGUCUGGUUUUUGACCAAAAAUUAUGAGAUGCAGGAAAAAGGAAGAUAAAAACAACCUCUGUCAAAAGACAAAUGAAUCAGAAGAACUACUGAUGGUACUGACGAUGGGCUAACUCAGUGGAAUCAAGGAAAGUCCAGAAAUCGACCCCCCAACAUGUGGUCAACGUACUGUCAGCAGAGCCACGAAGGGAUUCCAGGGCAAGCGGAAGUUCUCCAAUAAAUGGCACGGGAACAUCGAUGGUCCAUGUGUGAAAAAAUGAACCUCCAUCCACAUCUUGUACCACAAACAAAAAUUAACUCAAAAUGCAUUGCAGACAUAAAACUAUAAGACUUCUAGAAGUAAAUAUGGCAGAAAAUCUUUGCAAAACAUGUAUGAUAAAGAACUUGUAUCCAGAAUAUGUAAGUAACUCUCAAAAACCCAAUUUAAAAAUGGUCAAAAGAUUUGAACAGGCAUUUUACCAAAGACGAAUGGGAA